GUUUUGGUAGAAAGGAGAGAUGGUUGGCAUCUCCUGACGGAUGGGAACAGCCUUCGGGCUUACUUGUUACCUGCAUAUCCAAUUAAGACUACCUACUUCAGUGGAUCUUCUAACCAAUUUAAAUUUAUUU